UCUCUUCUUCUUCCUCUUCUU
rnacentral:sRNA from 1 species